AGCAGCCGCGGUAAUUCCAGCUCCAAUAGCGUAUAUUAAAGUUGUUGCAGUUAAAAAGCUCGUAGUUGAAUUUCGGGAUCAGUUGAUCGGUCGUGCCUCGGUACGUACUGGUCAAAUUGAUUCCUACCUUCUGACGAACCACGAUGUCAUUAAUUUGAUGUCGCGGGAAAUCAGGACUGUUACUUUGAAAAAAUUAGAGUGUUUAAAGCAGGCUCGCGCUUGAAUACAUUAGCAUGGAAUAAUGAAAUAGGACGUUUGAUUCUAUUUUGUUGGUUUCUAGGAUCGACGUAAUGAUUAAUAGGGAUAGUUGGGGGCAUUAGUAUUCAAUUGUCAGAGGUGAAAUUCUUGGAUUUAUUGAAGACUAACUACUGCGAAAGCAUUUGCCAAGGAUGUUUUCAUUAAUCAAGAACGAAAGUUAGGGGAUCGAAGACGAUCAGAUACCGUCGUAGUCUUAACCAUAAACUAUGCCGACUAGGGAUCGGAUGAUGUUAAUUUUUUAAUGACUCAUUCGGCGCCUUACG
rnacentral:rRNA from 1 species